GUUUGCCUACGGGGCGCAGCAGUGGGGAAUAUUGCACAAUGGGGGGAACCCUGAUGCAGCGACGCCGCGUGAGUGAAGAAGUAUUUCGGUAUGUAAAGCUCUAUCAGCAGGGAAGAAGAUGACGGUACCUGAAUAAGAAGCCCCGGCUAAUUACGUGCCAGCAGCCGCGGUAAUACGUAAGGGGCAAGCGUUAUCCGGAUUUACUGGGUGUAAAGGGUGAGUAGGCGGCGAUGCAAGUCAUAUGUGAAAUUCCGGUGCUUAACUCCGGAGCUGCAUAAGAAACUGCGUUGCUUGAGUGCAGGAGA
rnacentral:rRNA from 1 species